rnacentral:piRNA from 1 species
UGAUGGGAUUGAUCAUCAACAGUUCAGCGAUU